rnacentral:lncRNA from 1 species
AGUCUCUGGCUCUCCCUGCCUUUCAGCCCAGCCUCUCUCCACUUCCGUCUCUCCUGUCUAAGGAACUGCAGUCCCAGCUCGAGACCCCCAGUAGGAGACCCCAGGCUGCGCUCUACUUAUUCCCACCCCGUGGGGCUCCUUCGAGACACCCGCGCCCUUCCGGGACCCUAGCCCGUCCCUACCUCCAUCCUGGUCUCGAGGGGCGCCCCAGCUAAGCCGGGCAGCGUCCUGGCCGGGACUGGGCAGCAGGGAGUACAGAGUCGCGGGACCGCUCCUCGGGCUGGACCCUUCUCCAGACCAAAGACGGCGCCUGGGGCGGGGAGAGACGGACCCCCCUUCAUGGAGACAGACACACGCUGACUCCGAUUGACCCAGGUCCCCAACUUCCCCUCAGCAUUAACUAGAACGCUCUCCCCUUUCCAGUGGAGGGCGUCCCACCCUUCUUCCCGGCCCUUCUUUUAACCCACUUCCCCUGGGAGUUUCCGGGACCCCUCCCCUCAAUCCUCCCAUCCCCGGGAUCUCGGGAGACUGUUCCUCCCUCUCUGCUCAGCUGACCCUCCACUUGCCCCCAUUUCUGAGGGAGGAUUGGAGGUCUGGACUCUCAUAUGCUUCUGGGGUAACACAGAGCCAGAAGGAGUCUGGAUUUUUCCUUGAAUGACCUGAAGUCAGCACCGCUCCAGUCCUAAACUAAGGACUGAGUUCCAACUGACUGAAAACCAAAUUAAAAGAGGAGCCUUGCUCCCUUCCUUGUGCUCAGCGUUGAGACCCUGCCACCGCCUCAGCGGUCGUCCCUGCCCUGUCCGCCCCGGGCUGCACCCUGCAAGGCUCCUGCUGUUGUCCCCGGAGCAUGGGAGGCUGCUGGGCAUGAGUGGCUUGGUCCUGCGGAAGCUGCGUGGCAGGGAGGGGGUCCAUGGCUGCAACCAACAAAGGCAGCAAGCCCAGAUUCCGGAGUAUCCACUUUGUGACAGGCCACGAUGCAGAGGGCUCCCAAAGCCACGUCCACUUUGAUGAGAAGUUGCAGGACUCGGUGGUCAUGGUCAUCCAGGAGAGGGACAGCAGCUUUCUGGUCAAGGUUCCUGAAGAUCCUGCACAGGUAUGAGAUUACCUUUGCUCCGUCCCAGUGCACAGGCUGAGCAAGGACGUCCGCCAGGCACUUGUCCCCAGCCUGCACCUGAAGCUUCUCAGCGUCCUACCCUUCCCUGAAGGUUAUAGUGUCAAGUGCGAGUACUAGGCGCACAAAGAAGGGGUCCUCAAAGAGGGGAUGCUACUAGUCUGGGAAGGUGGCACCAGCACCUGCGUGCGCGGAAGGUGCAAGCCUGCAUCAUGGGCUGACGCCAUGGCACAUGCAUGCUGCUGGACGGUGUCAAAUGCAUGGGUGCCAAGCUGGAAUACUACUCGGAGCACAGCGACUGGCACGGCUUUGACUGAGGCCCGAGGUCCUGCCUGCCCUGGGCUGCCCUGCCUGCCCUGGGCUGCUCAGCCUUAAACCCUGCCUUGUUCCCCCAUACCCGACAUGCUGCCUGAUGGUGUGGCUUCCUUGCCCCUCUCCAGGGUGGGUGGGAUGGAGUGGCCUUGCCCACGCCUGUCACCUCUGCCUUCAUUCAAGCCACCACCCUGCCUCUCCUGCAUCCUCCUCUUCCACUUCCUCCUCUCCGUGUGCCUCAGUCUCCUGCCAGAAGAAAUGGCUUGAGCCCUCAAGGAGGCUGUCUGAGGAAGGAAGGGGAGGGCCUGGGGUGGGUACUCCCACUCCCCACCCCAAGCCAUAGGGGCUCCAGCCAGGGUCUGGGAGAGGACGGAGCUGGUUCUCUGAGGUCGUGGCCCCGUUACCUCUGCUGCUGCCUUGCUUCAGCCGCCUCUCCUGCCCCUCCCUCGUUCGCACUGCUGUCCUCCAUGAGUAGCAGGGAGGUGCAGUCCCCAGCUCCUACCCCUCAGGUCUGUGUUACUUGAUUUUUAAGCGAGUGGUUGGGAUAGAAUCCUAAAGAAAUAAAACUUCCAGUGUGGGGGCGGGGUGGGGGGGAGACGACCCUUGUCCCCAGUGUUACUCCCAAACAUUUGUGUGAUAUGCCGGCAAGGAUCAGGGAGAUAACCGAUUUCAGUUAUCUGCACUCACAUACAGGCCCUUUGAGGCUUGUGAGAUGAGAAAGUUUGAUAUUGUUAAUCUUUUCAGUCUCUCUCACCUCUUACACACAUAUACAGAGCUGGCUUCCUGGACCACUUCUGGAAAGAGCAAAAUCUACUUUUUCCAUGGCAACUAUUUAGCCAAGGAGACUGGGAGUAAAAGGGAGGAUGUCCCUAUGACCCUCUCCUUACUACUCUAAAAUAUCUUUUUUUUUUCUUUUGAGGUGGAGUCUUGCGCUGUUGCCCAGUCUGGAGUGCAGUGGCGUGAUCUCGGCUCACUACAUCUUCCGUCUCCUGGGUUCAAGCGAUUCUCGUGCCUCAGCCUCCUGAGUAGCUGGGGUUACAGGUGUGUACCACCACACCCAGCUAAUUUUUGUAUUUUUAGUAGAGACGGAGUUUCGACAUGUUGGCCAGGCUGGUCUUGAACUCCUGCCCUCAAGCCAUCCACCCACCUUGGCCUCCCAAAGUGCUGGGAUUACAGGUGUGAGCCACCAUGCCUGGCCUUUUUUUUUUUUUUUUCUUUUUUGAGUAAAAUAUCUUAAAGAAAAGUGUGGGCAUCAUGAUAGUCCACCAAGAAAUACUUCAGUAGUAUCACUCAGAAAGAACAUAUUUCAACCACCAUAUGAUCUGGCAAUCCCACUAUUGGGUAUAUAUCUGAAGAAAUAAAACCAGUAUGUUGAAGAGAUAUCUGCACUCCCAUAUUUAUUGCAGCUUUAUUCACAAUAGCCAAGAUAUAGUAACUGGGCACAGUGGCUCACAUCUAUAGUCCCAGCUACUCUGGAAAGCUGAGGCAGGAGGAUUGCUUGAGUCCAGGAGUUGGAAGCUGCAGGGCACUAUGAUCAUGCCUGUGAAUAGCCACUGCCCUCCAGCCUGGGCAACAAAGCAAGAUCUGUCCUUAUUAAAAAAAAAAAAAAAAAAAAAAAAAAAAAAAAAAAAAGGCCAGGCGCAGUGGCUCAUGCCUGUAAUCCCAACACUUUGGGAGGCCAAGACAGGCAGAUCACAAGGCCAGGAGUUCAAGACCAGCUUGACCAAUAUGGUGAAACCUCGUCUCUACUAAAAAUACAAAAAUUAGCCUGGCGUGGUGGCGAGCGCCUAGCUACUCACGAGCCUGAGGCAGGAGAAUUGCUUGAACCCAGGAGGCAGAGGUUGCAGUGAGCCAAGGUUGUGCCACUGCACUCCAGCCUGGGCGACAGAGCGAGACUCCGUCUCAGAAAAAAAAAACAAAAAAAACAAAAAACAACACACACAAUAGCCAAGAUAUGGAAUCACCCUGAGUGUCCAUCAACAGAAAAAUGGAUAAAGAAAAUGCAGUAUACAGUAUAUAUAUUAUGUAAUAAUAUUCAGCCAUAAAAAAGAAUGAAAUUUUGCAAUUUAUGGCAAUAUGGAUGAACCUGGAGGAUAUUAUGCUAAGUGAAAUGAGCCCAGCACAGAAAGACAAAUGCCAUGUGAUCUCUUUUUUUUUUUGAGACGGAAUCUCUCUGUCACCUAGGCUGGAGUGCAAUGGUGUGGUCUUGGCUCACUGCAACCUCCACCUCCUGGGUUCAAAUGAUUCUCCUGCCUCAGCCUCCCAAGCAGCUGGUACUACAGGUGCAUGCCACCACACCCGGCUAAUUUUUGUAUUUUUAGUAGAGACGGGG